rnacentral:misc_RNA from 1 species
AUGCAUUAUAUGGAUAUCAUAUUCAGCUUUUGCUUCCGUUGGCAAUCUCUACCGUAAAACUGCCUUUAAAGAAUUCAGAUUAAAAGCUGCUUUAUCUUCGUCCAUGAAAGCAGCAGCAUAUUGUAGAGUCAAGUUAAAUAUUUGAUAAGAGAAGAAACUGCAGUCUUUGACGUCAAACUGAAGAAUAAAACAUCAAGAUGAAUAUCAGUGGUAACAUCACUUUUAACAACAGUAUAAGCAGCUUCUGUCUGCCGGGCAGUACAGUUAAACAAAAAGACAUAUCACGCCUGGUGCAUAUGUUCCAGGCUCCUAGUCCAGCACCUGUCAUUGCCAUACAUGAAAUAGUCCUGAAAAUAAGUUUGUAUGUUGUAGCAUUCGUCAUGGAUAUUGUUGGUAAUGUGCUGGUUAUGUUAAUUAUCUACCUCAACAAACGUAUGCACUGCACAACCAACUAUCUUAUCAUGAAUCUGGCAAUUUCAGACAUUUUGGUUGGGUUGUUCUGUAUGUGGGUCCACAUCGGUAAUCAAAUCACUCCAGAAUGGCCGUUUGGUGAUUUGGUCUGUAAAGUCAACACAUUUAUUCAAGUGAUUGCCGUAACGUUAAGUGUUCUCAGUCUGACCACAAUAUCAGCCGACCGUUUCAUGGCUAUCGUCUUCCCGCUUCGCAGUAGAAUGUCUUCUACGAAAGCCAGUAUAGUCAUUAGUAUGAUCUGGUUUAUAUCAAUCAGUGUUGCUGCACCACAACUUAUCGUUCGCCACCAAUCUGAAUUCACUUGGGCUGACCGUCACGAGAUUUAUUGCGAUGAAGUCUGGCCAACCGUAUAUAUAAAUACCAAAUGCGAAACUGACCAGCCUGUCCGCAAGAUUUACUAUAUAAUCUUUAUACUUGUUCUAUAUUUUAUCCCCAUUCUGGUCAUGAUAGUCGCCUAUUCAAUCAUAGUGUUAACCUUGAUGAAACGCAAAGCCCCUGGUGUUGCCAUUUUGUCCACAACCUUGGCUCAAGAAAAGUCUAAGAGAAAGGUUAUAAAGAUGCUGAUCGUCGUAUUAAUUGUCUUUAUUCUUUGCUGGUCGCCUCAACAAAUACUGUUGCUAUGGGGACUCUUCCGUUCUAAGAAACAAUUCCCUGCUUAUAUUGAAACUGUUCGCUUUGUGGCGUUGUACGUGGCCUACUUAAACAGUUCUUUAAACCCAAUACUCUAUUGUGGUUUCAAUGAAAAUUUCCGAAAAGGUUUUAUAGAUGCUUUCCGUUGCAGCUUUUCCAAGAAAACUUUACGCAUCUUCCCGAUGCGGAAUAUUGAGAGAACAUCAUCAGGGAUCGGAGAAAGACAUUCUUCUAGGUGUCGCUCAAUUCAGGAGCGCCCCCAUACUGAGGUGACAAUUUCUGAAGAGACAUUAAACGAAGAUAUAUAAUUCACCACCGUAUACACACACACACACACACUCUUUCUCUCUCUCUCUCUCUCUCUCUCUCUCUUUCCUCCAUACAUUGUUCGCUGUUGUGUGUCGGCUACGUAUGCAUAAGUGCAAGAGUAUUUGUGUAUGCAUAACUGUAUAUGUAAGUUGUUGUUGAUGUGUGUAUGUGUGUGUGGGUGUGUGUGUGUGUGUGCGUGCGCUUGUGUGUGUAAGUUUGCAGUCAGUUAACUUUUCUAGACGCUUGCUUCCCUGGCUUACUCUGUUUUAUAGUCAUUUUGCUGUACUCCGAUACACACACACGCACACGCACCAUCACCACCAACACUCCACACACACACACACACACACACACACACAUACACACACACACACAUAUAUAUAUAUACAUAUACAUAUGCACAUACAAAGAGGGAGAGGGCAAAAGAGAUAGUCAUGAACCUAGCAAUACUAUUUUGAUGAAGCUUAAGUGACAUGUUUAAUAUUUUAAUCGUUGAGAGUGUACAACAGAUCGAGUGGUAGUCGGGGCUAUGACUUUUUUGUCUGCCAUGAAUUAACAAAACGGG